AGAGAGAGACAUGCGCGCAUAUCAAUAAGCGGAGGAAAAGAAACUAACUAGGAUUCCCUCAGUAACGGCGAGUGAAGCGGGAAGAGCUCAAAUUUGAAAUCUUCAAGGUUCUACCUUGACGAAUUGUAGUUUAAAGAAGUGUUUUCUGUUGGAGUUUUGGUAAAAGUUCUUUGGAAUAGGACAUCAUAGAGGGUGAGAAUCCCGUAUUUGACCUUUACUUUCAACUUUGUGAUACACUUUCAAAGAGUCGGAUUGUUUGGGAAUGCAGUCCAAAAUGGGUGGUAAAUUUCAUCUAAAGCUAAAUAUUGGCGAGAGACCGAUAGCGAACAAGUACCGUGAGGGAAAGAUGAAAAGAACUUUGAAAAGAGAGUUAAACAGUACGUGAAAUUGUCAAAAGGGAAGCGUUUGACACCAGUGUUGUUUUCUCGAAAAUCAAUUAAAAAAGGCAGGAUUUUGUGUUGUAUUGACUUUAUCAGCUUUUCUGCACUCUUUUCUUGUCUUUUUUAAUGCACUUUUCGUUUAACUAAGUCAACAUCAAUUUCUUUUGUUGUAAAAGGGUCAUUGGAAGGUGGCUUUCUUUUCGGAGAAAGUGUUUAUAGCCUUUGCCUCUGCAAUCGGAGAGACUUGAGGUCUGCAGCGUAGAUCCUUCGGGGUUAGAUACAUUUGUGCUAAGUUAUAGCCUUUCAUAGACAACUUGUUGACUAUGAUCAGUCAUGUAGCUUACUCGCUUAUGCUAUUUUACCUACGCUUAGGAUGUUGAUGUGAUACUGCGAGCA
rnacentral:rRNA from 1 species